GACGAACGCUGGCGGCGUGCCUAACACAUGCAAGUCGAACGAUGUCCAUCCAGUGGCAACACCGGUGAAGACCUAGUGGCGAACGGGUGAGUAACACGUGAGGAACCUGCCCCGAAGACCGGGAUAACUCUCCGAAAGGAGAGCUAAUACCGGAUGCCCCCACCGGACCGCAUGGUCUGGUGAGGAAAUGGAUUCCGCUUCGGGAGGGCCUCGCGGCCUAUCGGCUAGUUGGUGGGGUAACGGCCCACCAAGGCAUCGACGGGUAGCUGGUCUGAGAGGACGAUCAGUCACACUGGGACUGAGACACGGCCCAGACUCCUACGGGAGGCAGCAGUGGGGAAUCUUGCGCAAUGGGCGAAAGCCUGACGCAGCAACGCCGCGUGGGGGAUGAAGGCUCUCGGGUUGUAAACCCCUUUCAGCAGGGACGAAUCAAGACGGUACCUGCAGAAGAAGCCCCGGCUAACUACGUGCCAGCCGCCGCCGUAAAAC
rnacentral:rRNA from 1 species